GCCCGGGGGCACCUCCGUGAGGGGCCGCGUGAGGGACCCCCGGGAGGCACCGCCCGUGAGGGGCCUUCUGACGGGCUCCCCUCUGAGGGACCCCUCCCCAUGAGGGACUGGCGUCUGAGGAACCCCCACUGGGGCCCUCCAAGAGAGACCGUCUGAGAGACCCACGGGGGGACCGUGUGAGGGAGCCCCGUCUGAGGGACACCUCGUCGGACCCUCUGACAGGGACGGUGUCAGAUACGCCCUGAGGGAACCCGCGAGGGAGAACGAUGUGAGGGAUCCCUUGAGGGAUUCCCCGAGAAAACCCCUCGGGGACCUCUGAGGGAUGCCCUACCCCCCGAGUACCCCCGUGAAGGACCGUGUGAGAAACCCUCCUGAGUGACCCUGUGAAGGAGCCCGCAAGGGCUGGGCACAGCUAGGCACGCUGUGGACAUGGAGAAAUCCAGGACAAAGGAUAGCUGCACCACGGGAGGAGAAGGUCAAGAAGCGUAUGGUGCGGACUAAUGAAGAACGUUGAGGGGGUAAACUGAACUAUGAUGGAUGGCAAAAAUGGAUAGUCAAUAAAGUUUGACUCCCUCAGGAGAAAAUAAAAGUAAAAAGCUUUUUCCCUUUAA